AGUACGUUCGCAAGAAUGAAACUCAAAGGAAUUGACGGGGGCCCGCACAAGCGGUGGAUUAUGUGGUUUAAUUCGAUGAUACGCGAGGAACCUUACCAAGGCUUAAAUGGGAAUUGACAGGUUUAGAAAUAGACUUUUCUUCGGACAAUUUUCAAGGUGCUGCAUGGUUGUCGUCAGCUCGUGCCGUGAGGUGUUAGGUUAAGUCCUGCAACGAGCGCAACCCCUGUCACUAGUUGCCAUCAUUCAGUUGGGGACUCUAGUGAGACUGCCUACGCAAGUAGAGAGGAAGGUGGGGAUGACGUCAAAUCAUCACGGCCCUUACGCCUUGGGCCACACACGUAAUACAAUGGCCGGUACAGAGGGCAGCUACCUAGCGAUAGGAUGCGAAUCUCGAAAGCCGGUCUCAGUUCGGAUUGGAGUCUGCAACUCGACUCUAUGAAGCUGGAAUCGCUAGUAAUCGCAUAUCAGCCAUGAUGCGGUGAAUACGUUCCCGGGCCUUGUACACACCGCCCGUCAAGCCAUGGAAGUUUGGGGUACCUGAAGUCGGUG
rnacentral:rRNA from 1 species